ensembl:lncRNA
UGCGGUGAUGCCUCUGGUUUUUGAACUUCACAAGUGCUUCCCAGUGUUUUUCCUCCCUUCCUUAGGUGGGAGAGGACGGCUGUAGCGCGCCAGAGUUGGGUAUUUCCCUUCUCCCUGGUGGAAGGCUAGAGUGGAGUGGAGUUGGGUGUUUCUCUUUCCCUGGGUCAGUUAGGCUCUAAUAAUACCCAGCUAGUUAGGCUUGGUUAACUAGUUUCCCCUGAGGACAGUCCUUAUUAAGAAGAACAGAGCACUCUGGUGUGUUUCAAAAUGGUUCCUUUUCCCCUCUCUGUGCCAGAAGCCCAAGAGGAUUUUUCUCUAUUUCCUGUGAGGACCUGGUCAACCUUUUGGAGAUAUUGAUGCCUUCAGUUGAGAUUAAUUGGAUGUGGUUUCUAAUUAGCAAGAUAAAAAGUUGUGAAGAGGCACAAGUAAAUGAUGGCACUGUAUCGUCAACCGCUCUCCACCUCCUUUUGGACUGGUUUUGGACAAUUUUUCUAAUACAAAAUAGAUAUGCAACUUAUCUUCAUAAAAUAUGGAAUUCAAAAUUGACAAAUAGAGUUUUCCCCACUUAAAACCAUACUGCCAGAAGGGGUAAAAAUGAUCCCCUAAUUCAAAUGCCAGCCUACAGGUUAUUAAAUACCGAGAAGGAAGAAAUGUGCUCACAAGAGGUGCAAAGAACUGUGGGUGUUUAUACUUCAAGUAAUGCGAUGAAAUUGACUGUAACUAAUAGAGUGUGAAAUAGUCUCCGAAGGAGCAUAAUGAAGUCCUAAAGAAAAUAGCUUAAAACAGGAGUGGAUGAACGUCUUGAAAAUUCAAGCAAGGAAAAUCACUACUGCUUCGGAAGGAAAUCUGUCUCUUGGAUCCUGGUGUUCUUCUCAUGGGGAUGUAGUGAUUUCAAUGACUUCCUCUGGACCAUGGCUUGGCUGCACAGUACUUUAAUUCCAUUCUGGAUUUUCAUUUAAACCAAUGUGUGAGAAGCUCUUGUACAUCACUCCAAGUCCUCUUGGAUGCACCUCUUACCGCAGCCACUGCUGCAGUGCCCAGUUUCUUAAAGACGUCCCUCAGCCUCACACAGGGGCAAUUUGACAGUACCUCACCUUGGGCACAGGCUUCCUCUACCUUCCUGCUUCAAAGCUUUUUUGAGGACACAGCUUGGAACUCUUGGUGGAUCUUAUGGACACUACAGGAUGGACAACUGAGUCUAUGGGGCUACCUUGACCAAUUGGAACAGAAGCUAAUGGAUAAAUACUAUUCCCUGGGCUGCAAGUUCUGACACGCUUUUCAUAAGCCUUCUCAGAGUGUCCUACAGGAUCAAAUACUGGUGUCCCAGCCUGGUUAGUAAUGAAGCAACGAAUCUUUUAAUUUGUUUUCCUUAUUUUCCUGUUAAGCCCACCUCACCCUCAAAUUCCUGAGAUCACAUUAGUUGCCUUGCAAGUCUUUGUUUAUAGCUGUGCCUUUGAGGGAACUCAGGCUAAUGAAACAUAGAGAUGUAGCUGUUUUCUCCAGAUCUAAGCACUAUUUCGGUUGUACUGAAUAGAAACCCAAAGAACCAGGAGACUAUUAAUGAAGCUUUAAUGAGCCCUGGCACUCAUUAGACAUGGAAUCCCAAGAACUGGCUGAAGUUUCUGUCCAAUAGGAUGACAAGCUGGGAAAUUUCCUGGCCCAACACUAAGCAGCUGGAGGGGAACGGAAAGUGAAUCAGGACUUUGUAUUCCCUCCUGUCCUCCAGGCACCUGCUCCCUCCCUUGCCCCAAGCCUCCUAAGAUUGAAUUGUUCUGCUCUGAAUUUAAUGGAAGACUCUGCCCUUGGAACUGCAUCUCAGAGCCAAAAGCAAAGCUAGUAAUGAGCCCCAGGUGAUAUGUCCAUUUGCUAUUCUGCUUCACAAGUUAACUGUAGCCAAAGAAUUUUAUUUUGUGCUUUCACGAUGCAUUUUUUAAAACGUGGAUUUACUCUACAACUAAAUUCUUAUUAUACUUUUCUUCUAUAUAUUUUUCCUGUGGUGUACUUAAAUGUGAAGUUACUUAUUUUUCCUAUAGAAAAUCCUAAUACAGUUCCAAACUUCCGCUCUAAUGACCAAAAUAAUGUUCAACUUCAUUAUAAGUCCCAAUUACAGUACAUGCAAUAAGGGAUUAUGCUCAAUUCAUUUUGCAGACUCACUUUAAUUUUUACCUUUAAAAGGUAUAAUUCCCUUUAUCAGAGAUAAUGAUUGUUUCCAGUGUUCAGAUUGUCAGCGAAAUAACAAGUAGCAAAUAUUUAAAACAGUAUUUUUUAAAGUCUCCUUUCUUUUUUUUCUUCCAGAUUUAUACUGAGUUUAAAAUUUGGAUCAUUAAUCAAAGAAAAGGAUUUUAUACAGUUAGCUGCAAAUAGAGAAGUGCAUUACCAAACUAGUGUCAUUUUAAUGGACCAGAUGACACAGCUCUAAAAAAUUUUAAUAUUAAAGCCUCUUUCUUCCCUUCAGAUGGACUUAUGUGACGUAGUUAAGGCUUAUUGCAGAGUAAAAUUGCUGAUGAAUCUAUUUUUAAUUUUUCUGAGCACUAAAGCACCCUGAAGAUAGACUCUUUGAUAUACAUGCCAUGUCUAGUUGAAAACUGUGUUUUGUAAGCUGGCCUUCAAAGCAGAGAAGAGAAAUUUGAUCAUUAAUUUAUUGGUAGCUUAAUUGCAUAUUCAGUUCAUAAGCCUUAAAAAUGUAAGUUUGUCUCUGAAAACAUAUGCAUACUUAAAUUACAUAAGGAUUUGUUUAUUGUCAGUAAGGAGAAGCAGUACAUUUGAAAUAUUUUAAUAUCUAAGAUUAUUUUGUAAUUUUUCUUUAGGACACUACACUUCUGCAGUCUGUCCUUAGGCUAAGUCAACACUUUAUUAUCUUACCACUUGUUAAUUCACAGAGUCUCACUUAACCUAAGUAUUUUUGACUUUCAAAACAGAAAUACUCUUUGAAUUUUAUUCAUGGAUUUUCUUAUAAUGUUUCUUCAAUGUUCACGUUAGUUAUCCUUUGAUCAUUUUCUCUUAAGAUCCAUACACAUAAAAUAGAUUUUAAGCUUGAGGGCUGCAUAGUAAACUAUACAAUAUUUAAAUUCUUAUGGAAGUUCUUCUCAAGUUCUUUCUCUCAAUUUCACUGAAUACAGCACAACUAGCCCUAUUUUCCACACUUAUUUCCCUAAUGUAAUUUAAAUGACAGGAAAGCAGAAUGCUUAUGAAACUAAUGUCACAUGUCUUCAGUUGCUGGAGAGGCCUCUUCUCACAGAGAAAAUCUCAAAUCCAUAAUUACCAAUUGCACUUCAAGUCUGAAGGUAUAAAAGGCACACCAUCGCUUACAAAGAAUGUUGCUAAGAGGACAAAGAGGGUGUUAGGUAGUCUAAUUUAUUGAGAGAUCGAGAAAAUAAUACUGUCAGAGGCAUUAUGCUCACCAACUAUUUCACUUGUUCCUUUACAUUUCCUAGCCCUGAAAUUCAGCAGGAAGCUGUCGAUAGCAAUGGCCAAUAGGCUAUGAACAGAAGGGAAGAGAGUCGUCCACAGUUCCAUAGAGUGAACCUCAGAUGGUGGAACCUCUGCUAGCCUGAGCAGACUUCUGCAGGAGAGUUUUCCUGCAGAGUUGCUUACAGACACACC